rnacentral:rRNA from 1 species
GACGAACGCUGGCGGCGUGCUUAACACAUGCAAGUCGAACGGAAAGGCCCUGCUUGCAGGGUAUUCGAGUGGCGAACGGGUGAGUAACACGUGGGUGAUCUGCCCUGCACUUCGGGAUAAGCCUGGGAAACUGGGUCUAAUACCGGAUAGGAGCCAUUUUUAGUGUGAUGGUUGGAAAGUUUUUUCGGUGUAGGAUGAGCUCGCGGCCUAUCAGCUUGUUGGUGGGGUAAUGGCCUACCAAGGCGGCGACGGGUAGCCGGCCUGAGAGGGUGGACGGCCACAUUGGGACUGGGAUACGGCCCAGACUCCUACGGGAGGCAGCAGUGGGGAAUAUUGCACAAUGGGCGCAAGCCUGAUGCGGCGACGCCGCGUGGGGGAUGACGGCCUUCGGGUUGUAAACUCCUUUCGCUAGGGACGAAGCUUUUUGUGACGGUACCUAGAUAAGAAGCACCGGCUAACUACGUG